UGUCUCAAAAAAACAAAAAACAACAAAAAAAUAAGUUUAAUUUGUGGAUCAGUUUUUGUACUACAUGUUAUGUAUUAUGCAUUGUUCAAUUUGACAGUGGCAAGCUGUUUUACUAGGUUGUUAUCUACUCUUAUUUAAAUAAAAGAAAGAAAGGUACCUGUGUUAGAAUGUUUGCACUUUAUAUGCAGGCUCUAGCUUUAGAUAAUCAAGCUUCUGCCAAAGAGUUUCCAGGUGAAAUGACUGAGAUGGUCUUAUUUUGAAUCUUUUUUUUUUUUUUAAAGAUUUAUUUAUCUAUUAUAUGUAAGUACAUUGUAGCUGUCUUCAGACACUCCAGAAGAGGGAUUCAGAUCUCGUUACGGAUGGUUGUGAGCCACCAUGUGGUUGCUGGGAUUUGAACUCUGGACCUUCGGAAGAGCAGUCGGGUGCUCUAACCUACUGAGCCAUCUCACCAGCCCGAGAUGGUCUUAUUUUGUUAAGCAUAGUACUAACUGCUUUUCAAAAUUACCUUUUUGCUUUUUGAGACAUCACUUCAUGUAAACAGGACUGGCCUCCCAAGAGGCUGUGUAGCCAAGGGUAACCUUCAACUUCUAAACCUUCUACCUCCCAAGUGCUGGAAUUAUCUGAUGCGUGCCAUUGGGCUACCUUUAUAUAGAUUAUUGAUGAAAUUAUUAGACACCCAGUUUGUAUUUGAGAGAAUAGAGGUUUGGGGGAGUAAUUGGAACAACAUCACAGAAGGAAUAGGAAUCAAAUGGAGAAACUUCAGGUCUUUGUGUGCGUUUGUGUUUGGAGUCAAGGUCUUUUUGUUCAGAUGAGCCUGGGGCUUCCAGGCUCAGGCUGUCUUUCUGCCUCGUUCUCGUAGGUAGCUAAGACUACAGAUACUCUUGGUUCUAACAAGAAUUGUUUAGUUACUGUAAGUUACAGCCUUGGUUGACUAUAGGGUACUGCGCCAAACUAGAAGGUACUUACUGUUGAAAGGGAUCACCUGUUGAUUUUAAGUUCUGGUUACUAGGUAGUCUACUGGAAACUCCCUAGUUUGUCCAGUGACCUGAGUUCAGUUUCUUAGCAUUACCAAAAAAAAGGGAAAAAAAUGUAGUUACUAAGGUUUACCACACUGUUACUGUACUAGAAUUUGAAACAUUAUGUGUCUCCCUGAAGUGCUGUGGAUUGAAUUUAGCAGUUUGUUUGUUUUUUUUAAAUCCAGAAUCUGAGUCUUUUUUUUUUUUUUUAAGAUUUAUUUUUUAUUUAUUAUAUACACUAUAGCUGUCUUCAGACACACCAGAGAGGGCAUCGGAUCACAUUACAGAUGGUUGUGAGUUACCAUGUAAUUGCUGAGAAUUGAACUCAGAACCUUUCGAAAAGCAGUCAGUGCUCUUAACCCCUGAGCCAUCUCUCCAGCCCCAGAAUCGGAGUCUUUACAUGAAAUUUAGGUGUUAAGUGUUUGCUGCU
rnacentral:lncRNA from 1 species